UACGGAGGGUGCAAGCGUUAAUCGGAAUAACUGGGCGUAAAGGGCAUGCAGGCGGUUAAACAAGUAGGAUGUGAAAUCCCCGGGCUCAACCUGGGAACUGCAUUCUAAACUGUUUAACUAGAGUAUUGCAGGGGGAGACGGAAUUCCAGGUGUAGCGGUGGAAUGCGUAGAUAUCUGGAAGAACACCAAAGGCGAAGGCAGUCUCCUGGGCAAAUACUGACGCUCAGAUGCGAAAGCGUGGGUAGCAAACAGG
rnacentral:rRNA from 1 species